rnacentral:misc_RNA from 2 species
GAAAUGCGAUACGUAGUGUGAAUUGCAGAAUUCAGUGAAUCAUCGAAUCUUUGAACGCACAUUGCGCCCUUUGGUAUUCCAAAGGGCAUGCCUGUUCGAGCGUCAUUUGUACCUUCAAGCUUUGCUUGGUGUUGGGCGUCUUUUUGUCUCUCCUUUGCGGGAGACUCGCCUUAAAACGAUUGGCAGCCGGCCUACUGGUUUCGGAGCGCAGCACAUUUUUUGCGCUUUGCAUCAGGAGAAAAGGACGGUACUCCAUCAAGACGUUUACAUUUUUCACUUUUGACCUCGGAUCAGGUAGGGAUACCCGCUGAACUUAA